CGAGUCCAGAAUGACCUUCUUGUCAAAGACUGGACAACACUGCAGUGUGGACACAAGCCCCUUUCUUCACCCACGCCUCUGUCUCUGCACCUUGGGCUGCUUCUACCUCCUGAGUCCUGGGAAUUGCACAGCAAUGAACGGGGAUGUGCAAGUGUCUCUUCCAAACUUGCUUUCAAUUCUUAUGGGUAUAAAAUCAGAAGGGAGACUGCAACAUUGUACGGUAAGUCUGUUAAUUUGGAGGAAACUCCCACUCUGUUUUUGGGGGCGGGGGUGGGGGAAGGCUCUUUUGACCAUCAGGAGCAGGGGCAGCAGCUCUCACAGCUGCCUGACAGGGUGCAGAGCAUGUGUGAAGACGACUGGGUGGGGUCUCCAAGGGAGCAGAUAAAUGCCGAGGAUGGCCCAGUCCCCUGUCUGCUUAUUUGUUGAGGGACCUGGGAUCGAGAGGGGCGAGCUGGACGCUGCUAUUUCCAAGCUCUCCUUGCAACGAGGAGCCUGAAGCCCCAGUGCAGUGCAGGCUCCACAUCCCCAGGUCAGCCCCAGGACCCCCGGGUUUCCCCAGAAAGGGUUGUUCCUUGCCUUUCCUCCUCCACAGGGUCUCUCCUGACCCGAGGGGGGCUGUGUGGGAACCUUCAGAGUUUCUCCACCACCACCACCACCCCACCUGAGAAUGAGUCCCCUGGAACAUGAGUUCUGGGGGCCCUAAACCUCCCCCUAGCUCAGACUUCAAGGCACCUGGCUCUCCUCUGGCCAAAUUUGGGCAAAUGCCCUGAGGCUGGUCAAGGUGCCUUCAAUCAGCACCUUGUUUGAACUCCUCUCACCUUGACCUUCUGCUGGAGAGAUGAGACAUCCCCAAAGACCUCUUGGGACACUCACCACAGAGUUUCAGCUUUGGAAACCACCCCCACCCCAUCUCCAUUCAGCAAUUCUCACCCAGGCUUCACACCUUCCCUUUUCCACCCUACCCCCACAACCACGAGCUCUCCUUGGUAUCACUGAGAUUUUUCCUACCUCCUUUUUGGGUCCUGGCCACAGACCCUGAGCCACACAAGAGAAAGAAGUGAGGCUAGAAGCGGCGCACGAAGGCUUCAGACACCCCAUGUGUUGAUAAGAAGUUUAUUUGUCCAAUGUGCCAAAUCAGAAAGAACCGAGGCUGCAAAGCAAAAGAAAAGUUCAUCUGAAGUUCGAGAGAUUGGCAGCUAGGAGACACAGAUUCUCCACGACCAGAAACAGCUCAGAGCUGGGAGGAGAAAGAGUUGAUCAAGGGAAAACCCGAAGCUUGUUUAAGUGUUUUGGAAAGAAUUAUGCCUCCUUCAGCAGAAGGAAGCAAGCUAGCUUUCUUCCGAGAAGUGCCGCAGAAUGUCCCAUUUGUGGUUGGCAUAGGCUACGAUGUCACGUUGCAUCUAGGUGGGGACAUAUACAGGACCAUCUUUACAGCGGUCUCUGAGCUCCUUGUUAAAGAUUCUUAACAUUAGUGAUUCAAUUUCAAUGUUUCAGUGAACAGUUGUGAGCGGUCUUAUUUGUGAGUCUGGUAUAAUUUUAUAAUCGUAGUUUUGUAAUUCCUUUUAGAAUUUCUCAUUUGAAACACAAGUGAUGACUCACGGAGAGAGCUGAGAAUACAUAUAUGGUCCACUCAGUGUAGAUAAGCUGGUAAAGUAGUUUGCUCUCUUCUAGAUGACAAGUAUUUCCCCAGAGAGCCUGGAAUGCACAUGUAUUACAGCAGCUAAAGCACAACCACUUCUGUGGGUUUAGGAAACAUCUUGUCGUCUCGAAAAUAAUGUCGUAUAUUUGUAAAGAACUUUUUGACCAUCAGAUUGUGUACAAUAGAGGCAAGACUGCUCAGGGUGUAAACAACGGUCUUCUUCAACAGAAAGUGGCACAUCUUUUUUAACCAGUCCGUGAAUUUUUGUUGGUCCUCAACACGCGUCAUGUACAAGUUUGGUAUAGACAUUGUUAUCUUAUGCAUAACAAUGUUAGAUAUCAUUUCCAGUGUGAAUUCCAAGACCCAAGGUUUGAUAUUGAACAUAUUUGAGUUGGUAGAGGGCAUAGGAGGUUUGCACUAGUUCGCUUUGGGCCAAAAGACCGAAGAGAGCUUAGAGAGCCAGCCUUUUAUACUUUCUGGAACCAGUCACUCUCUGAUGCCCCGCCCCUAACACACAGGCAGGAGCCAAUGAGCUUGUCCCACGUGUGCCAGCAGCCAUUUGGCAGAGGCAAAAAACAAAAAAACAAGGGGAUUUUUUUACAAGGGGGUUUUGGUGACCAUGGUUACACUGAUGGAAAGGCAGGAUUUGGGGUUCUUUGUGUGAAGAGGACAAAAUUCAAGGGAUUUUUUUACAAGGGGGUUUUUGUGACCACGGUUACACUGAUGGAAAGGCAGGAUUUGGGGUUUUUUGUGUGAAGAGGACAAAAUUCAACCGGUUGGCCGGUCUGCUCUUAGUGGGAGGUUUGAAAAACAUGUCCUUUGUGGUCCCUGUAACCCCCCCUAGAAGGCAAGGUUCUGUCGUGGUCAAGGUUCAUGACACUGCUCACCCAAGGUGGAGCAGAACAGCAAUGGAUUCCAUCACAGUGAUGCAGAUUGAUCAUGGAUGGGGUUUGGAGUGUUGUUUGUGCUUUCGUGUUCUGAGGUCUGGAGAGGAGGAAGCCCUGUCUCUCUGCUCUGGAGCUGUCUAGAACUCGUUCAACAUAGAGAGUCCCAUCUAGACACUUCAAGGUUGUGAGGGCAAUCAACCAGAGGAGAACACUUUUUUUAGUUUCAAAGCAAGGAGAAGGCAUAGGUAACUGUCGAUCAGGGUUGUAGGUAAGUGUUGAUCACCGAACGUGGUGGAUGCGUGGCUGUUUUUCUGAUCUUCAACUGGGAGGGCCACGUUGACACAGAUGAAAACAUUUCAGCCUCAUGUAAACAUUAGAUUUAGCCUUCCGUCGAUCUCUAAAACAGAAACCCAGAUUGUUGGGUUCUGUUGCGAGAUAUUUUUUUCAAUGUUUAUUUACUUUUGAGAGAGAGAGAGAGACAGAGAGAGAGCGAGAGAGAGUGAGCCAGGGAGGGCCGGCAGAGGAUGUGGGGUGGGCUCUGGGCUGAUAGCAGAGAGUGCAAUGUGGAGCUGAAACUCACAAACAGUGAGAUCCUGACCUCAGCUCAAGUCGGACACUCACCUACAGAGCCGCCCAGGCGCCCCAGAUUGUCAGGUGUUUAAAUCAACAAGGCUUUCUAGAUUUCAACAAAGAAACGGUGACAAAGAAAGCUGAAGUCUCCAGUGGAAUGCCAGCUAGUAAACGUAGACGAAAUAGUGCAGUGAGCCGUUCGGUUUCCUCCAAGAUUUAACAGAUGUGAACGUUUUAGAAUUUGGCCUCCGGUCUCCUUUGCCAAACAAAAGGCAACAAGCUGCAUCAUAUCGGACACCAGCGCCUUCUCCCUUGCUGUCCUCCUUUGCCAGAGGUAACGACUUGCUGGUGGGUGAGGGUCUCAUCCUAUGUAGGAGACUUUUUACAGCGAUUUCACCCAUCCUUUUUAUAUAUGUUUGUAUUCAUCAAUAGUCCGUAACAUAGUUUCAUGUUCUUAUUUUACAGAAAUGGGUCAUAAGCUAAGUAUUUUUUGCAGCAGGCUUUGAAAAGCCUCUGAAGUCCUUUUUUUACGUACCUCAUUGUUGUUCUAGGAAUCUCCUUCAUUUCAUCUGCUGGGCAGGGUCUCAGCGGAGGAAGAAAGCAGACCUGUAUUCACAUGCUGUUGUAGGAAAAAGUAAUUUGGUAACUCUUGAUGGGUUUCAUUCCCAAUACAAUUUUUGCAGGCUUUUUGGGAGACAUGUAUGAGGUCAAUUCUUGUCUUUCUUUUUCUUUCUUUUUUUCUUUCUUUCUUCCCUGUCUUUAUUUUUUUUUUAAUGUUUAUUUAUUUUUGAGAGAGAUGGAGACAGAAUGGGCGUUGUUAGGGGCAGAGAGAGAGGGAGACACAGAAUCCAAAGCAGGCUCCAGGCUCUGAGUUGUCAGCACAGUGCCCGACGCGGGGCUCAGGCUGACAAGCUGUGAGAUCAUGACCUGAGCCAAAGUUGGACGCUCAAGCGACUCAGCUACCCAGGCGCCCCUCUUCCCUGUCUUUAAAAAGCCACCUGGAAUCCACUCUUUUGGUAGAAGACACGAGCAUAUGCCUCUCAGAAAUGAGAGGGCAAGCUCGAUGGGAAGCUCAUCUAGCAGGAAGGAUAGAGAAUAUUGGAGCAAUGUAAGAAGCUUGGUGUAUGUAUAUACAAAAUGUGGUAAAUUUUUUUUUCAAGCACAGAUGGCAACUGUAUGAAUAUUUGCCACAUACUGGGCCAAGACUGCAAAUUUUCAUCAAUGCACAGACAUGGAAGGCUCUAUAAACCCUGUGGUCGGUAGUCAGAGAACAGAAUGAAAAGUACAAGCUGAAAACAACUCCCUGAAUGGAAACCAUGUGUUUGUAAAACUCCUGCCUAAUGAGAAACUACAAUGGCAGUGUCACAAUAUGUAUAACUGACAGAAAAAUACUUUACAGAGAACACACAGGAUGCAACCCAGGGGAGCUUGUGGGGAAAUUUUAAAUGUUAAGAUGCUUAAAAGCAGAAAAAAGGAGCAAAGAAUAAAAAAUAACCAGAAGAAAAGCAUGAUAGGAGUCCUAAUAACCAACCUAAUACGAACUUGAGUUACUAUUUCCUUAUGUUUAUUUAUUUGUUUUGAGAGAGAAAGAGAGAGCGCAUGCCCAAGCAGGGCAGGGGCCGAGAAAAGGAGAGGCCGAAUCCCAAGCAGGCUCCUCACCGUCAGCGUCAGAGCCGGUACUGGGCUACAACUCACAAAGUGCCAGAUCAUGACCUGAGCUGAGACCAAGAGUCAGACGCUCAACUGACUGAGCCCCUCAGGCACCACUUGAGUUACCAUUUUGAAAUUUCCAUCAUUUCAAUGGGGAGAUUUUACACAUUCAUGACCUUAUUCUAACCUUACGCAUACUCUUGAGAGAAAGAGCGAACACAUUCCCAGCUCUUACCGUGAGACUAGAAUAACCUUGACCCUCAAACCAGAAAAAAUACGGAAAGGAAAAAUUACAGGCCAGGAGCAGCAUACACAAACCUCCUACAGAAAUAGGAACCACAGUCCAGCAGUGAAGGGAAAAGAUCACGUGCGUGAAUAUGAGGUUUAGUCCAGGAAUGCAGUUAGGUUAACAGGAGAAGAUCAGUGUAAUUCACAGCUUUAAUGGUUGAAAGAAGGAAAAUUACGUGACUUUUUGAAAGAUAACGUUAAAAAAAACUCUAUGUAAGAUUCAGCUACAUUUGAUGACAGAAACCCGUCAACAGAAAUAAAAUGAAACUUUCUGAAACUGAUAAAGCGUGUGUACAAAAUGGUAGAGCAAACGUAAUUUUAAGGUCAGGCGGCCAGGCUCGGGUGGGCUGCCAACACUGACUUGUAAGGGUGCGUGUGGGGUCCUUGAGCGCGCCGAGCCAGACACAUAAAAGAAAAGGUCUGAGAAGGAAAAGUGCAGAAACGAUGUCAUAAUUCACAUCUGAGAAGUUCUCAGAAUCAGUACAGUAGUUUCCCAAGAAUGCCUGAUAGGAGAUUCAUAUGUGAGGCUGAAUGACAUUGCUUUAUAAGAGCAAGUGUCAUUUAAAUAAUAUUUAUAGCAGCAACCGGAGAAUAAACAAAGAGCUUUGUAAACAAGGCCUUUAUUUAUUUACCACCUAAAACUUGACUGAACAUGAAAGUUUGCUGUUAAGUGGCAAUAACUAAGAGGACAAAUCCCCAACAGAAAGGAAAGAGAUACCAGGAGUGUCAGGAUCGGGAAGACUGCGCUUGGUGGAAGAGCUGUUCUCCCCAAAUUAUCUGGACAAUUACGAACUUCCCAAUAAAAACUGUCAUUGUUUUCUUUCCACUGGACAAGGGAAUUCUAAAAUUAAAGAGCUUAACAAAGGGCCCCGAAGAAGUGUAACAAGGUGGCAACGGCCCUACUAGAUAGAUAUCAAGAUGGAUCACCGAGCCACACUAUAGAAAACUGGUGCUGUGGCUCCACUGGGGACCUGAAUGUGGCAUCGGCCACCAUCCUACUCACACAUCGACACUUCAUAAGGGAGGUGGCCUGACAGAUAAAGUGGAGGAAAGAAGGCAGUUUUUAUAAAUGAGUCUGAAAAAUUGAUCACACACACACACACACACACACACACACACACACAGCCUUGGGAAAUUAUUCUAAAUUAGGUAGAGGAACACCAAUGUAAUGGUAAAAAUAUGAGUUCUAUAUUACACUUAAUGUCUCUUUAGAAAGGAUACUAGACGAAAGAGAUGUGCAGCACACAUAGUUGGCAAAGCAUGCCAUCCACAAUAUAUAAAGAUCCUUGCAAUAAAGAAAAACAAACCAAUAGAAAAGCUUGUAGAUGUCACCCAGAGAAGUUGGGUGGUGUCAUAGCAGACGUGAACGGGGAGGAACAUUCAUAGUGGCAGUGUUUGUAUAACAUAUGAGCAAAAGCAAAACAUCCCAAAUGUUCACCAGUUACCACAUUUCUUUCAGUGAAAGAAAAUGUGAUAAGUUCUUUUUUUAUUUUUUAAAUUUUUUUUCAAUGAUUUUUAUUUAUUUUUGGGACAGAGAGAGACAGAGCAUGAACGGGGGAGGGGCAGAGAGAGAGGGAGACACAGAAUCGGAAACAGGCUCCAGGCUCCGAGCCAUCAGCCCAGAGCCUGACGCGGGGCUCGAACUCACGGACCGCGAGAUCGUGACCUGGCUGAAGUCGGACGCUUAACCGACUGCACCACCCAGGCGCCCCAGAAAAUGUGAUAAGUUCUUAUGAUGGGAGAUGCGGAGACCAUCGCCAUCCAGGCACACCUGUGGGAGUGAAUCCUGGGAAUUUUUCCUGAACAAAGCAAGUGGCAUGAAAUUCAGUGUAAUUUCAUUUUUGUGAAGGUCAACAACGCUCAAUAUGAAAUGUAUGGCUUUUAAGGUUACAGCAUGUUAUUGAAAAAGAAGACGUGUAAGGGUAGGGGAAUAUUUUGCAGAAUAUGGCGGGGGGUGGGUUGGGCUGGCAGGGGGACUGGUGACAGCAUCCAUGGUGUGUGAGGUGCUGCUUCUCUUCUUCCUUGAGCUGGGUAAAGACUCAUAGGGAGUUCUGUGGGGGGGGGGGGGGUGGAGUUUAAAAAAACUUUUAAAAUGUUUAUUUAUUUUUGAGAGAGAGAGGAAGCAGAGUGUGAGCAAGGGCAGGGAGGGGCAGAGAGAAAAGAGGGAGACACAGAACUCGAAGCAGGCUCCAGGCUCUGAGCUGACAGCACAGAGCCCGACACGGGGCUCAAACUCACGAACCGUGAGAUCAUGACCUCAGCCGAAGUCAGACGCUAACCGACUGAGCCACCCAGGUGCCCCUGGAGUUUUUUUUAAAAAAUAAUUGUUGCUUUCAUUCCCUGCACAGAUGAUAUAAGCAAUUAUUUUGGGUAUAUCCAAUAGUCAAUAUGAAAACAAGAAAAAGGGGUGCCUGAGUGCCUAAGUCAGUUAAGCAUCCUACUUUGUCUCAGGUCAUGAUCUCAUGGUUGAUGAGUUCAAGUCCUGCAUUGGGCUCUCUGCUGACAGUGUGGAGCCUGCUUCAGAAUCUCUCUAGCUCCCUCCUUCCUCCUCUAUCUCUGUCAGUCCCUCUCUCUCUCUUUCAAAAUAAAGAAAGAAACUAAAAAAAAUAAAUCCUACUUGGUCAUGAUAAUUUUUUGUCUAUUUGUUUCCUGUUAUUGUUUUUUUUUUUUUAAUUUUUUUUUCAACGUUUAUUUAUUUUUGGGACAGAGAGAGACAGAGCAUGAACGGGCGAGGGGCAGAGACAGAGGGAGACACAGAAUCGGAAACAGGCUCCAGGCUCUGAGCCAUCAGCCCAGAGCCCGACAUGGGGCUCGAACUCACGGACCGCGAGAUCGUGACCUGGCUGAAGUCGGACGCUUAACCGACUGCGCCACCCAGGCGCCCGUUUCCUGUUAUUGUUAACUCUGCAUUUGGUUUACUAACAUUUACUUUGAUUUUUUUAUGUGAGUUUUUAUAAAGUUUAUUUUAUUUUUGAGAUAGAUAGAGAGCAAGCAGCAGAGGGACAGAGAGAAAGGGAGAGAAAGAAUCCCAAGCAGGCUCUGUGCUAUCAGCACAGAAAAGACUAGAGAGUACCCGAUGCAAGGCUCCAACUCAUGGACUGUGAGAUCAUGACCUAAGCCGAAAGCAAGAGCUGGACCCUAAAGUGACAGAGACACACAGGCACCCGUUGUCUGCGUAUUUGUAGGUGAAAUUGGCCCAUGGUUUUCUUAUCUGGUUUUGGUAUGAAGCUAUUCAAGUAGCCUCACGUACUGGACUAGGAAGUAUUCUUCUUGUAAAACUUUUUAUUCUUGGAGGAGUCUGUUGAAGGUUAUCUUUAACUUGAAGAUUUGUUAACUCUCACCCAUAAAGACCAUCAGGGCCUGGUACUGUUUUUUUGACCGAGGGAAAUCAGCGGCUCACGUUUUAAUUUUUUAAUGGUUAUUGCUCUAUUCAUAUUAAGACUUUUGUUUUGAGGUAAGUUUUGGUGAUUGACAUUUAUUUUGAUAAUUGUUCAUUUAAUCCAUAUGUGAAAAUACAUUGGCAUAGUUUUUGUGGUAGUCUCUGAUAAAUUUUACAAUCUCUCUUGUAUCUUCCUGAGAAGUCCUUAAAGAUUUUUACCAACGUACCAAUUGAUCCCUUUCUCUCUGUGUCUGUUUCUGUCUUUCUAUCCGAACACCAUGGUUUCGUGGGAACUGUACAAGGUGGAGGGAAACUCGCAGCAAAGAUUCUCUCCUGGACCAGACUUUAGUCAGGCUGUCUCAGCCAUUUGCUUAAGGAGGUCUGACUUGGGCUUCAGGUCCAGUUUGAGCAAGAAACCUGUGAAGGCCAUUGAGCCAUAAUCCUCCCCCCCCGUGAUAUCUGAGCACCCUCCUUUUCUGACCAAAUUCUCACCCCAGCAGCAUCUGCUAGGUAGUACAUGAUCACUCCCGCUAUCUUCAGUAAGAACCCUGUUAGGUCUUCUUGGCAAGAAUUACCUUCUUGGUAAAUUUCCACCGCUGACUGCCCCACCCUGCUCCUUGGCUAUAAGUCCCAUUUAGUCUUGUUGAUUUGGAGUUGAGUCCAAUCUGUCCCUCCUACUGCAAAGCCAUUGUAGCAAUCGGCCUCAAUAAAGUGUGCCUCAACAUGAGUAAUGACUAUCAGAAUAGGUUUUCAUUAACACAUGGAAACACGUGAUUACAGUAUGGUUGACGAGGGCUACAUGAAAGUACAUAACAGGAGCUGUGGGGUUACAAGGGAAUUGAUAAGGGGCUUGUAAAGUUUCAAGACUUUGGAAAAUAGUAAGACAAGUGACGAGAUGGUGUUCAGAAUGAAACAAAAGACUAGAGAAAUAACAAAUGGGGGAGACUGAGAGAAAAUGAGCCCACCUUUAUGGGCAGGGCAAGGAAGGACCCCUUAGAGCAAGUGUCCAGGAGAGCUUAGCUGUCUGAUGGGUAUUUCAGUAUUUUACGUCCAAAAUGAAGCUCCUGAGUGUUUCUCUUUCCCUCAUGUUUUCCCUGAAAUACUACCUACCCCAGUUCCCAAUAUCAUAAAAUGGUGCCAUUGCCCUCUGUGUGUUGAACAAGUCAAAAUCUUGAUAAGGAGCAGUGAGAACCUUGCAUUGUGGAUGCACUUUUCAAGUGUGUUUGGGGAUAUGCGGUGCUGGAGAUGGAUGCCUUUCCAGCACUUUCUAGCAUGUGGCCUGUGAGGUUUGUCCUGGAGUUCUGAUGGCUGGACUCAGGAAACCCGUCAGUGGGGAUACUUUCAAGGAAAGCAAGACUGUAAGAAAAGUGUAAAAAUAAUGAUAAUUUACAUAAAAAAUAAGAGUUCUGGCUGAAGAAGUACAGUGGAUGUUCCUCAUAAUCUUCAGUGUUGGAGAAAUAGGACAAUUCAUACAUUCUUUCAGUGUUGAAAUGAAUUAGUUGACAGGAAAAUCCAAACCUUUAAACUUUGGGGGCGCCUGGGCGGCUCAGUCGGUUGGGCGUCCGACUUCAGCUUGGGUCACGAUCGAUCUCGCGGUCCGUGAGUUCGAGCCCCGCGUCGGCUCUGGGCUGAUGGCUCAGAGCCUGGAGCCUGCGUCCGAUUCUGUGUCUCCCUCUCUCUCUGCCCCUCCCCCGUUCAUGCUCUGUCUCUCUCUGUCUCAAAAAUAAAUAAACAUUAAAAAAAAUUAAAAAAAAAAUAAACUUUGUUUCAGGUGAGACAAGCUGAGUGUCAUCGUCAGAAAGAAGGCAGCUGACAGUUCACUUCCAAUGUGACUCUUUUCUCCAGAUGAUACUUCCGUGUGACCCAAGCCAGUACAGUCCCCAGAAACCCAGAGUGAAUUCCAUAUUAUCUGAUAGAACGUCUUACACUUGGACUCAGAGACUCAGGUGGUUACCUGUAGGUCCAUGUGUUGGAUCUGGACCCAAUGAGUUUUCUGGUUUGCUGGUCACCAGAGAUACCCGAGGAUGUUCCUUAUGCCCCAGCAUUGGCCUGUUCCCUUUCCCUUUCUGUCAGCACAGGACCCCCAUGGGGACCCUGAAGGUUCCUAGAACAUGGUUGGUCACGGGUCUCUGAGGAUGAGCUACCAUGGACGCCGUGAGACAGAACCUGCGUGCUGGCAGGUGCACACUCCCAGGCUCUCACAGAUCACCCCGGACAUAUGUCAACAUCUAUGUUCUUAUUCGUGGUCGUGUGAGGACACCUGGUGUCUGAGGGGAGAAGGGAGGAUUAGGCUUUUGAGUAAUGGUGUGUUUGCUUCUGCCAGUACCCUGCUGAUGGUGGAUUUUUAUUUGUGUUUUUGUUUGUUUUUUAGUAUAUUCAAGCAUGAGGAAUUGGAAACAAAAGAUAAUCAGGAGAAAAUGUAGUUUGGAUUAUUUUAUUCUACUCAGACCCAUAAAGUAGAGACAUGCAAGAAAUAUCAGUUGAACACAGGAAACAAAGACGAGGGAAGGAUGCAAGUGGUUAAUAGUGACCUGACCGGUGACUCUGACUCCUUAGCUUCAAUGGAUAGCACCGUGCUGGCCACCAGCAGGGCGGCCAGGAAACAGCGUCCCAGGCUGUGGCUCAGGAAGGGGCUGUUGCAGGUGGGACCUCGCUCCAGUCCGUGUGCUCUGUCAGCUGUCCCACUGCCCACUCAACUCCAUCCCCACCUAGUCUGGAGACCUCCCAGCCCAG
rnacentral:lncRNA from 1 species